GUAAUGGUGGUUCAGUGGUAGAAUUUUUGCCUUCCAUGCUAGAUACCUGAGUUCCAUUCCUGGCCAGUGUA
rnacentral:tRNA from 1 species